rnacentral:piRNA from 1 species
UAUAACUUCACAAGAAAUUAU